UUUUGAUAGACUGUGGGUGCCACUAGCCACUGUUGUCAGUGUGUUGACAAUAAUGGGUAGUGAUUGACUGCUGAGACUCAAUUGACAAUAUACUGAAGUACAAACCCUGUUGGUGGUGUGUAACCUCAUUGCCACUCUGAUAAGAGUUGUGUUGACACCACAACCAAAAGUGCUCCAAAAGUGCUGAAUUCACUUUUUGCAUCUGUGGCAGGGCCUGUCUUUUCCAGCCCCAUGUUCACAGAUGUCUCAUUCCAUCUCCCACUCAGUGAGCUCUCCUGGUUUCCUGGCCCUGCUCCGUCCCAGACAGCCACUGCUGGCCUACAGAGCUAUUUAAGUCAAAACUGGAUGAUGUGAAAUGGGACAGAGGUCUGAGCCUGUUCACCUAGCACAUCAAGGGCUCCAUGGUCGCACGGGGCUCCUCUCUGCCACAGCUGACAUUUGCACCUCCAGAGGGUCCACUGGGAGCUCCAGUGUCUGUGUUCUUGUGAACUCUACUCCCAGAUUUGAGAUGCGCCUUGCAUGGGACUCACCUGGCUCUUGUGGAGAAGCCACGAUCCGGGAGACCGAGCUGAGCAAGCCGCUGCACAUUGGUGUGGUGAGGAUGCUGUGCCUAGCUCUCUUGCAUCGGUUCCUUAGGAUGGACACUUCCUGCCCCCAAGCCUGAGGCCCCUUUGGCUGGUAACCUGCAGGGACACACUGCCAGGUGGGAAGCUCAUUCAUGGCAAAUCUACUCUGCUGUCGGGACUCUUGACUGAGAAUUCGAGCAUGGUCACUCAGGCAUGGCUUCCCUAGUCAUCUGGAUACUGUGGAUGCCCCGGUUUGAUGGGGUUUUGUUAUCCAGCAGCUGCUUCUAUCUGCUCCUUACUGUCUAUUCUUUUCCUUGUGCACAGUGUAUACUUAAUAGAUAAAAACACUCAUUUGACAUGGAAAGCCGUCUCCAUACUGCACAGAACAUCAC
rnacentral:lncRNA from 1 species